rnacentral:misc_RNA from 1 species
AUCGCGUCGCCCCCCGCCAAAACCCCAAGGGCCGGCCGGGGCCGGAGAUUGGCCCCCCGUGCGAGCGAACCCGCGCGCGCGGCCGGCCCAAAUGCGAAUCCGCCGCCGACGCACGUCGCGACCAGUGGUGGUUGAACCCUCAACUCUCGUGCUGUCGCGCACCAAUGCUUCGUCGGUCCGGAGACACCAUCGGAACCCAACGGCGCGCGAGCUCGCUCCGCGCCCACGACC